rnacentral:ncRNA from 1 species
GAUUAAGUUAUUAAGGGCGCACGGUGGAUGCCUUGGCACUAGAAGCCGAUGAAGGACGUUACUAACGACGAUAUGCUUUGGGUAGCUGUAAGUAAGCGUUGAUCCAGAGAUUUCCGAAUGGGGAAACCCAGCAUGAGUUAUGUCAUGUUAUCGAUAUGUGAAUACAUAGCAUAUCAGAAGGCACACCCGGAGAACUGAAACAUCUUAGUACCCGGAGGAAGAGAAAGAAAAAUCGAUU